rnacentral:rRNA from 1 species
GGGACGAACGCUGGCGGCGUGCUUAACACAUGCAAGUCGAGCGGAAAGGCCCUUCGGGGUACUCGAGCGGCGAACGGGUGAGUAACACGUGAGUAAUCUGCCCCUAGCUCUGGGAUAGCUCCGGGAAACCGGGAUUAAUACUGGAUACGACCACCUUAGACAUCUUUUGUGGUGGAAAGAAUUUCGGCUAGGGAUGAGCUCGCGGCCUAUCAGCUUGUUGGUGGGGUAACGGCCUACCAAGGCGACGACGGGUA